AAAAACCUUGAAUGUCAAAAAUACUGACUAGAAUUCAGUGUGGUUGGGAACAGUUGCAAUACCCAUGGCUUGAACAGGGAACAAGCAAUUGUUCAAGACAGCAGCAAAAGCCUGAACACAGAAUGGUCUUUCUGAAGCUGAAAGGCCAGGAGCAAUGCUGGAAUGUGAGCUUCUCUAGAGCUCUGUAAAUGAUCUCCCCUUGGUCCCAGAGGAUCAUCCUCUCACAGGGAAGGAUGUCAUUGGCUGGAAACAUCUGUCAUCUACAAAGAAAUACCCAUGGCUCACACCUUUUACUGUAUUUAACAAAGUCUGUACAUCAGAUAUGUCAGAAAAUUCCUCUGCCUCUGGAUGAACAGUGUCAGCAUUUGACUUAGCAGAAAGCCCUACAUUGCUGUGCAGAGGUCCUUUGUGCUGCCACCCUGUUAUACUGGUGGUCUGAUGUACAUGGCUUUAGUGGAGGAUUCUCAAUGACAUUUCACCUGACCAUGGAUCCAAGAGUCUCCUUAAGACUUCAACAGAGAUCGUUCUCAAUGGGAGGUUACAAAGUCCUUAUAUAACAACAAGUUAUUUAUUUUUGCUUAGAGAAAGUUAUCUAUCCUGUUUGAAAAAAUGUCUUAUGAUAACCUGACGAUUCAACAGUUUUAAGGCAAUUUUGAGGGGAAUGAAGGGAAAAAAAAAGGCAAGAAACUAUCUAAAAGGAAAGACAACCAGGUGAGGGAGAAAACACUAAAAUUAACUGCAGGGUGUCAUGAUAUGCUUUCUAGAUAGGCACAUUUGCCAUUAAGAUGAGGUUGCCAGCAAAAGUAAGUACCAUAUUUUCUUCCUGAAAGACCAAUUUAUCUUCUGGCAGUAAAUAGGUAACACUCACUUUCUCAUGUGAUGUAGUAGUGCCUGGCAGCCUUUAGAAAGGUUUGCUUUGUAUUGCUGCUUGCCUGACUGCUGCUCUCCUGCCCUGAUGAAGGCAAUGUUUGUGUCAUGGUUGGAUUUGUAAACAAAAUGUUCUAAUGACUUACCAUGAGAGUUUGAUUAAAGCCCUUGAACAGACCAAGAAUUGCAUGCAUGGAAUUAG